GAUGAACGCUGGCGGCGUGCCUAAUACAUGCAAGUCGAGCGAACGGACGAGAAGCUUGCUUCUCUGAUGUUAGCGGCGGACGGGUGAGUAACACGUGGAUAACCUACCUAUAAGACUGGGAUAACUUCGGGAAACCGGAGCUAAUACCGGAUAAUAUUUUGAACCGCAUGGUUCAAAAGUGAAAGACGGUCUUGCUGUCACUUAUAGAUGGAUCCGCGCUGCAUUGGCUAGUUGGUAAGGUAACGGCUUACCAAGGCAACGAUGCAUAGCCGACCUGAGAGGGUGAUCGGCCACACUGGAACUGAGACACGGUCCAGACUCCUACGGGAGGCAGCAGUAGGGAAUCUUCCGCAAUGGGCGAAAGCCUGACGGAGCAACGCCGCGUGAGUGAUGAAGGUCUUCGGAUCGUAAAACUCUGUUAUUAGGGAAGAACAUAUGUGUAAGUAACUGUGCACAUCUUGACGGUACCUAAUCAGAAAGCCACGGCUAACUACGUGCCAGCAGCCGCGGUAAUACGUAGGUGGCAAGCGUUAUCCGGAAUUAUUGGGCGUAAAGCGCGCGUAGGCGGUUUUUUAAGUCUGAUGUGAAAGCCCACGGCUCAACCGUGGAGGGUCAUUGGAAACUGGAAAACUUGAGUGCAGAAGAGGAAAGUGGAAUUCCAUGUGUAGCGGUGAAAUGCGCAGAGAUAUGGAGGAACACCAGUGGCGAAGGCGACUUUCUGGUCUGUAACUGACGCUGAUGUGCGAAAGCGUGGGGAUCAAACAGGAUUAGAUACCCUGGUAGUCCACGCCGUAAACGAUGAGUGCUAAGUGUUAGGGGGUUUCCGCCCCUUAGUGCUGCAGCUAACGCAUUAAGCACUCCGCCUGGGGAGUACGACCGCAAGGUUGAAACUCAAAGGAAUUGACGGGGACCCGCACAAGCGGUGGAGCAUGUGGUUUAAUUCGAAGCAACGCGAAGAACCUUACCAAAUCUUGACAUCCUUUGACAACUCUAGAGAUAGAGCCUUCCCCUUCGGGGGACAAAGUGACAGGUGGUGCAUGGUUGUCGUCAGCUCGUGUCGUGAGAUGUUGGGUUAAGUCCCGCAACGAGCGCAACCCUUAAGCUUAGUUGCCAUCAUUAAGUUGGGCACUCUAAGUUGACUGCCGGUGACAAACCGGAGGAAGGUGGGGAUGACGUCAAAUCAUCAUGCCCCUUAUGAUUUGGGCUACACACGUGCUACAAUGGACAAUACAAAGGGCAGCGAAACCGCGAGGUCAAGCAAAUCCCAUAAAGUUGUUCUCAGUUCGGAUUGUAGUCUGCAACUCGACUACAUGAAGCUGGAAUCGCUAGUAAUCGUAGAUCAGCAUGCUACGGUGAAUACGUUCCCGGGUCU
rnacentral:rRNA from 1 species